rnacentral:lncRNA from 1 species
CAGCUGGACUCCGUUUAGAUGAUCCCAAUUUUGUUGGCAACACCCAAAGCAUCAUAGUCAGGAGCCAGUCGAAUAUAUGUCUUCUCUUCCCCAUCGGGCCCGAUCAGAGUGUUGACUUUGGCCACAUCAAUGUCACAGAGCUUCUUCACAGCCUGUUUGAUCUGGGGCUUGUUGGCCUUGACAUCCACAAUGAACACAAGUGUGUUGUCCUCUAUUUUCUUCAUGGCUGACUCGGUAGUCAGGGGGAACCUGAUGACGGCAUAGUGACCAAGCUUGUUUCUCCCGGGGGCGCUCUUUUGAGGGUAUUUGGGCUGCCUUCAGAGAUGCAGUGUCUUGAGCCGUCGGAAGGGAGGUGGCGUGUGGGUCUUUGUGCGACUGGACGCCUUUCAGCACUGCUUUCUUGGCCUUCAAAGCCUUUGCUUUGGCUUCAGCUUUGGGAGGGGGUGGAGCCUCCUUCCUCGCCUUUGGUGCCACCUUCGCAAAAGGG